rnacentral:rRNA from 1 species
CCCUCCCUCUUGCUUCAUGCCUAACACAUGCAAGUCGAACGAGACCUUCGGGUCUAGUGGCGCACGGGUGCUUAACGCGUGGGAACCUGCCUUUAGGUUCGGAAUAACUCAGAGAAAUUUGAGCUAAUACCGGAUGAUGUCUUCGGACCAAAGAUUUAUCGCCUUUAGAUGGGCCCGCGUUGGAUUAGCUAGUUGGUGGGGUAAAGGCCUACCAAGGCGACGAUCCAUAGCUGGUCUGAGAGGAUGAUCAGCCACACUGGGACUGAGACACGGCCCAGACUCCUACGGGAGGCAGCAGUGGGGAAUAUUGGACAAUGGGCGAAAGCCUGAUCCAGCAAUGCCGCGUGAGUGAUGAAGGCCUUAGGGUUGUAAAGCUCUUUUACCCGAGAUGAUAAUGACAGUAUCGGGAGAAUAAGCUCCGGCUAACUCCGUG